GGCCCAUAAUUAGGGCAGAACCAACAUCCCCCGCCCCGCAAGGAAACUCAACUGUGUCUCUGAAGUCUCGGCACUCGGCAGUAGCCGUUUCUCAGCAACGGUCACCUGCAGCCUCGGCAACAGCGCAGCAGUCUCAGCAGUAGCCUCCGGAAUACAGCUAAUAUAGUUCUUAAACUGCGGCAAACUAACCAUUGUUUCCUCUCCUUCACUCUGGCAACGAGGAUGCCGAGCGUUUGCCGGAAUGGAAGUUACGGCGAGUGCUUCUCCAUUAAAAGUAUAUCACAACAUUAAAGGAACAACUAGAGCAAUCAAGUGCUGAGACUACACCGAAUAGAACACACAGCCACCAGAGGCUAGAAAGGCUGUUCCUACUGUCUUUCUACUUCUCUUGCGCUUCUGUGUCUCUCCCUCUCUGCCUCUCACUGUCACUAUUUGCGAGAUAGAGAGGUGAACAUACUUCUUCGUCCUAUCCGUGGAAAACUUGGGCACUAGAACUCCUCUAAUUCAACUUGUCGUUCCAAGAAGCAAGCAUACUUCUUCCUUCUUGGCAUUGAGCGGACCCUUGGAUGAUUGUUUGAAGCUGUUGAGAGGCCAGUGGGAUGAGCAAAAGCUGGUCGGUCUCCUUCUCACCUCAAAAAUCUGUCAUGGGGACGACACACCUGCUGUUCUAAAGGUCUAUGAUGCUGUCGGUGCUUGUUUUCUUCAGAGACUUAUCUUAACUGGUAUGGGAAAGGGAUCUGGUGGGUUUGGUAGCGCCGAGGAUAAAGAGCCAUAUUUGAGGCUCUCCAUCACCCUUCUUACUGCAUUGUGUCGGGUGCCAGAAAUUGCUUCAUAUGAGGAAAUGGUCUCUAAAGUUCCUCUUGUAGCUGAAAUAGUUACAAAAUCGUCUGACCCUUGUUGCUGUUGCUUCGGAUAGUGGAAGAGCAAAGUUUUAUCAACCUGGAGUCAAUUACCCGUUGCUCUUGCUUUGGAUGCAGGUCUGACCCUUUUUUUGAAUACUCUAAAUGGGACAAUACUUUUAUCUUGCGGUAGUCAAUUACUCUAGGAAUUCUAUAUUUUUGGAGUUUUCUUUUCCCUUAUUUAUUGUGUUAUGUUGAGGCGUAACACACUAUCGUCAAUUAAUUUUGUAAUGUCUUGUUUUUGUACCAAAUGUUCUGUAGGGUCCCAGACUAUAAAAAAAUGAAAAGGCACGGUAUUUAAUGUACAUGAUCAAAUACUUGGUUUAAUGUGGUAAGACAUUUAAUAAGCUGCAUUCUCCGCUUUGGAACGCGAGCACGUCAAACCACCUUAAAUGCAAGGGUGUGCUGGCGAUGUUUUUAACAUCAAUUUUAAUCUAACGGUGAGGGUAUGAUUACAUAUUUUUUACUUCUAGAUCCAACUGUCAUCUUAGAAUACCACGGAGAAUGAAAAGUCACUUCUUAAGUUAUCCUUGCCAAAGCUUUUAAUCGUGGCGAUUUGAUGGUGACUGUUUUUGUCUAGCACACUCAUCGGAUGGUAGAGAGAAGAUCCCUACAAUUGAUGGGAAAUUGUGCGAUACCGCCAUCAUAGUCUUCUACUUCUCGUAACUAUUUUAGCUGCCUUUCACUGUUGUGUUCUUGCGCUCUUCUCCUUUCUCGAUCGUUUGUGCCUUUUGUCCUUGUAAAUAUAAGUAAGUUGUGACUCCUUCAAUUGAAUUUUUCCCUCCUUUCUCUGCUCUUCCGCUUCCUUCUUUUAUCCUUUGCAACUAUGACUGUUGGUAGAUCCUUCAUUAGGUGGUAUGAGACUCAAUGGGUGAUUUUCCCUAAGGUUGCAGGACCAAACUAUGGGAGCUUUACGUCAUUUCGUUAGACAAUGAGAUUAGGAUUCCCCAACGAGAUCAUCGACAUAACAUUCCUCCUCCCGGUUUUACUACUUUCUUCUAUGGUCAAUUGAUAGGCGGCUCAAGGUUUCCCAUUCCCUCUAUACAAGAUUUAGCUCAUUAUUUUUGUAUCUCCUUAUCUCAUCUACAUCCACUGUAUGAUUUGUUGCGUAUCCAUCAUCUUCCGGAUAUAUGACAUUCCCCUUAACGAAGUUAUCUUCCAAUAUCUUUUUUACAUUCAGCCUGCCGAACCUGGAACCUUCAUUUUACUGCCAGGAAUAAAUGUAAAUUUUGGGUGACUGUCCAACUUCCAACAAAGCAUGGAAAGAUAGAUUCUUUUUCAUUAAACUACCUAAACCCUAUAUUUAGCCUACUCUCUCGCUCGACGAACUCCACAAUCAACUUAAGCUGGGAGACUACAAAUCGGAGACAGUGUACUUGGAGACGACCUUCAUUUUUAAGGACCUAAUGUUCAACGCAAUCCUCUUAGUGAAAAAUGAGGCGUUGCUUCAUCUGGUCGGGUUGAGCCCAAAAAAUGUAGCUUGGGUGAGGUUUUCAUGUCUAGUAGAUUUCUUUUUAUAUUAACUAUCCUUUCUUUGUCUUGCAAAGUAAAUUUUGUAUGACGCUUCUAUCAGCAAGAAACUGAAUUGGGAGUUAGACUUCCCAGCGACCUGCUCAUGUUGAUGAAUAAAGCUAGGGAGUCUCAUUAGGUGUUAGUUUCUCUUCUUUCUCUUGUAUCCAGCAUUGUUAAUAGUGAGGGUUUGAGUCAAUCGCUGAUACCGUCAUUCAUGCGAUGCUAUAUUCUCCGGUAAUCGCAGCUUCUACCCAAAUGAAUGAUCUAACAGAGUCACUUGAGACAAGUGCUCCAUUAGAGUUUUGCUCUCAGGAAAAAGGGAUGAUCAUACGACAAUCAUCCCCUCUUAAUCUUUCUACCCCUAAUGGGAGUCAAGGGCGUAUUUACGAAGCCAAGGUCUAGGAGAAACAUCAUCGAGAGCUUGGAAGCCAAAUAUAUCAUGUGGACGACCUUGCAGAGGUGGCUGCUGAAGGGGAGAGCUGUGAUGUGAAGAAGAAGAAGAGAUUCGUUAGACUAAUUAAAGAGCAUGCUUCAAUGCCUUCCUUCAGGAAGAGUGACCCUCCUUUAGCGGGGGAAAUUCGCCUUAUCCUCAAAAACACAACUCCGGAGAAGCAUUGUCAAAUGUGGAAGCGAGAGCUAGGGAUAACCCCUCAAGCCACUAGCCAAUCGCUUCCUCUCCCCCAUGUGCCAACUAAGUUAGAGGCUUUAGGCAUUGGUCAGAUGUCUCCUCCUGUCGACGCUGAACAAAGUUCCCCCUCUAACUUGGCCUCUCUCAGACUUGAGGCAGCCAAUAGACAGAGGGGACUCAAUCCCUCUCUUGAAGAGCAAUUGAAAUAUUAUAAGGAGGUUCUGAUACCUAGCAUGAGUAUUCUUAAACUAAUGGAAUGCUCAACUUUCUUUGAUCAGAAGGUAUCACAUCCUCCUUAUAAUAUUUUAAUUGCUCUUCAAGAGAGGGGCUGAGCCCCUUUUGUUUGUCGGUUGCCUUAAGUUUGAGAGAAGCUAAGUUAGAGGAGGAAUCCUGUUCGGCGUUGAUAGGAGGAGAUACCUAACCCAUGCCUAAAGCCUCUGUCUUAGUUGGCUGGCACAUAAGGGAGAGGAGGUGAUUUACUUGUGGGUUGAGGGAUUAUCCUUAGCUCUCGCUCCCGCAUUUGACAACGCAUCUCCCGAGUUAUGUUUUUGAGGGUAAGGUGAAUUUCUCUCGCUGAAGGAGGGUCACUCUUCCUAAGGAAGGUGCUGAAGCAAGCUCUUUGAGGGAUCUAACAGAAUCAUCUUAUUCUUUGCAGCUCCUGCUUCAACGACCUCUGUAAGGUCAUCCAUAAGAGAUAUUUGGCCUCCAGACUCUCGAUAAUGUUUCUCCUUGAAUCUGCACUUGUUUCCCACCAGGGGUAGAAAGGUUAGGAGGAGAUGAUUGUCGUAGGACUAACCUUUUUCCCUGAGAGCGAAACUCUGAUGGAGCUCUUGUCUCAGGUGACUCCGUUAGAUCAGUCGCAUGGGUAGAAGCUGUGAUUGUCAGAGAAUAUAGCAUUGCAUGAGUGGCGGUAUCGGGGCUAACUCAGACCCUUCACUAUUAAUGAUGUCGGACACUAGAGAAGGAAGAUAAACUAGCGCCUAAUAAGACACUCACCUUUAUCCAUCGACAUGAGCUGGUCGCUGUUGGAUGUCAACUCCCAGUUCAGUUUCUUGCUGAUGGAAGCGUCAUAUAAAGUUUUAUUUGCAAUACAAAGAAAGGAUAAUUAAUACAUAAAGAAAAUUACUAGACAUGAAAAUCUCACCCAAGCCGGCAUAUUUUUUGGGCUGAACCCGACCAGAUGAAGCAACGCCUCAUUCUCCACCAAGAGGAUGACGUUCAACAUUAGGUCCUUAAGAAUGAAGGUCGUCUCUAAGUACACUGGCUCCGAUUUGUAGUCUCCCAUCUUAAAUUGAUUGUGCAGUUCGUCGAGCCAGAGAGUAGACCAAGUAUAGAGUUUAGGUCGUUUAAUGAAAAAGAAUCGAUCUUUCCAUGCUUUGUUGGAGGUUGGACAGUCACCCAAAAAUUUACAUUUAUUUCUGGUAGUAAAAUGAAGGUUCCAGGUUCGGGAGGCCGAAUGUAAAAAAGAUAAUGGAAGAUAACUUCGUUAAGGGGAAUGUCAUAUAUCCGGAAGAUGAUGGAUGCGCCGCAAAUCAUACGGCAGGAGUUGGGUUGCAGUUGAGAUACCGAAAUAAUGAGCUAAAUCUUGUAUGGAGGGGAUGAGAAAUCGUAAGCCGCCUAUCAAUUGACCAUAGAAGAAAGUAAUAAAAUCGGGAGGAGGAAUGUUAGGUCGAUGAUCUCGUCGGGGAAUCCUAAUCUCAUGGUCUAACGGAAUGAUGUAAAGCUCCCGUAGUUUGGGUCUUGCAGCUUCAAGGAGAAUCGUCCAUUGAGUCACAUACCAUCUGAUGGAGGAUCUACUAGCAAUCAUAGUUGUAGAGGAAAAAAAAGCGGAAGAGUAGAGAAAUGGAGGGAAAAAUCCAGUUGAAGGAGUCACAACUUACUUAUCUUUGCAGGGAUAGAAGACAAAAGAUGGAGAAAGGAGAAGAGCGCAAGAACACAAUAGUGAAAGGUAGCGAAAAUAGUUAGAAGAAGGCUAACAGUGGUAUUGCAGGGAUCUUCCUACCAUCUGAUGAGUGUGCUAGACAAAAACAACCACCAUCAAAUCACCAUCAUUAAAAACUUUGGUAGGGAUAAUUUACGAGGUGACUUUUCAUUUUCCGUGGUAUUCUAAGAUGACUAUUGGAUCUAGAAGUAAAAAAGGUGUCACUAUACCCUCACCAUUAGAUUAAAAUUGACGUUAAAAAUAUUGCCAGCACACACCCCUGCAUUUAAGGCGGUUCGGCGUGCUCGUGGCCCAAAGCGGAGAGCGCAUGCAGCUCAUGAAAUGCCUUACCACAUUAAAUUACCAAGCAUUUGAUCAUGUACAUUAAAUACCGCACUUUUUCGUUUCUUUUGUAGCCGAGACCCCACAUAACAUUUUGAGCAGAACCGAUGCAUUACAAAAUUAAUUGACGAUAGUGUGUUACGCCUCAGCAUAACACAAUAUAUGAAGAAAAAAAAGAAUUCCAAAAAUAUAGAGUUCUUGGAGUAAUUGAUUAUCAUAAGAUAAAAGUACUGUCCCACCUAGAGUAUUAAAAAAAAAACAACAAAGCAUAGAACCGAUGCAUUACAAAAUUAAUUGACGAUAGUGUGUUACGCCUCAGCAUAACACAAUAUAUGAAGAAAAAAAAGAAUUCCAAAAAUAUAGAGUUCUUGGAGUAAUUGACUAUCAUAAGAUAAAAGUACUGUCCCACCUAGAUUAUUAAAAAAAAACAACAAAGCAUAAAGCUUACUUAUCUACUUUAAAGGGCAAAUACAGAGUUCUACAAGAAGUAGGUAGGAGUGUAAUGGAGAUAAACCCUUUAUUGAUACGAUAGAAUCUAGAGUUGCCGCAAGAUCCAUCAAAAGAGGUUCACAAAAGAAAUCACAAUUUUUAUGAUAAAAUCUGAUGUAAGCCUAGCAGAACCAUUGGAUUAAAGUUUUCUAAGCCUUUUUCAGCAAGAAUUCUUGAUCAGACUAGAUCAUGAAAUUCGGUUAUGGAUGCGAUUUUAACUUGGUAAGUUGUAUCCAUCGGGUUUAAGCAGAGCUACCGGUGAUAUGCCAUAUAACAAUUUGAAGUAAUCUCAGAUGAACACUAUGUAAUUCUGAGUAUCAAAGAUUCAAAGCUAUUUUUAUGAAAUUUAUCUGAUAUAUCUCAUUGUCUUAGUAA